AUAUCUCGAUCUCUAAAUCUCUCAAAAGAUAACCCAUAAUCAGAAAACCCUAACUCAGAAGCAAUCUCUCAAUCUAUUCAGCAGAAACUCAAAGGAUUAAUCUCUCGAACUCAAUCAGAUCUCACCAAGGGGCAUAACUGCAAUAAUGAAGACUAGCAAGGAAGCAGUAAAGAAGAAGCCGGUCAAGCAGUUGGAAAUAAAGAUGAAAAACAAAGAGAAGACUGAUGAAGCAUCCCUGAUAAAUAACAAGUCCAAAACUGAUAAUGCUGAACCAUCUUCUAAUAUAAUUGCAAAGUAGUUUAGUUUUGCAAUUUUGAGUUUUUGAAUCGAAAUCAAAUGAAUUAGAUGAAAUGAUGAAUGUUAAAUUAAGUACUUAGGUUGGGAAUGAGCUUUAGAUGGCCUGAAUGUGGCCGGAAAUAGCCCAGAAAUCGAUUUCUGGCGAGUUGACUCAACAAA